UGCCCAGAAGAGUGGAGGGACAGAGUGUGUGAACAGUGGAGCCAUACAUGGCUACUGUAAAGACACCAGAAGUGGAGCCCAAACCUCAAAUUCAGUUUUGUUUUUCUGCUAAUUAUCUGGCAUAGAAAGCCAGCCCUGAGGCAGCUCUCCUCCCAGCAAAUGGAUUCAGGUCUCCAGCCUGGAUUGGAACCAGGCUUUGGACAAAGGUUGUAUAAUCCCCAUAGCUGCUUCUGCCUCAUACAGAAGAAAUGGGAUGAGUUAUUCUUCCUUAAGGACAGAGCCAGUGAAAACAGGACACAGCCAGAGACGCUGAGUUAAGGUGCUGACCUAGAUGACACAUCUUUAUUGCAUAGUCACCUCAAAAAGGAAGACACUCAAACCACUCAUUGUCUGCAACCGUUUUCUCAAGCCCCAAGCAACAGAAAUCCCACGCUCACUCCAUCCUCGAUUCUGCUGGAGAGAAUCUGUGUGGGUCUGGCAGGCUGUCUCCAGUGAAAUGAGGCCUCGGCUAAGAGCCCAGGACACCUGAGUUUACUUGUUAUUCGCUGAGUAACC